AUUGAACGCUGGCGGCAGGCCUAACACAUGCGAGUCGAGCGGAUGAAGGGAGCUUGCUCCUGGAUUCAGCGGCGGACGGGUGAGUAAUGCCUAGGAAUCUGCCUGGUAGUGGGGGAUAACGUCCGGAAACGGGCGCUAAUACCGCAUACGUCCUGAGGGAGAAAGUGGGGGAUCUUCGGACCUCACGCUAUCAGAUGAGCCUAGGUCGGAUUAGCUAGUUGGUGGGGUAAAGGCCUACCAAGGCGGCGAUCCGUAACUGGUCUGAGAGGAUGAUCAGUCACACUGGAACUGAGACACGGUCCAGGCUCCUACGGGAGGCAGCAGUCGGGAAUAUUGGACAAUGGGCGAAAGCCUGGUCCAGCCAGGCCGCGUGUGUUAAGAAGGUCUUCGGAUCGUGAAGCACUUUAAGUUGGGAGGAAGGGCAGUAAGUUAAGACCUUGCUGUUGUGACGUUACCAACAGAAGAAGCACCGGCUAACUUCGUG
rnacentral:rRNA from 1 species